CACACACAUAUAUAUAAACGCGAGUUCCGCCUUCAAUCCGAUCCUCCCUUUCUCAAAAACCCUCUCCGAAAUCUCACCUUGCCGUCAGACCGGAGCUAGGGUUCCGAGGGCGAGGCGACCGGAGCGAUCGUCAACUCACCACCAUGAGAGCCAAGUGGAAGAAGAAGCGCAUGAGGAGGUUGAAGAGGAAGCGCAGAAAGAUGAGGCAGAGAUCGAAGUAGACAUCUUCGGGAAGGCGGGUCUCGUCCUCUGGGCGUGUUCUUUUUCGUUAAAGCAUGCUCCUUUUUUAGGAACCGGUACUUGUGGAAGAGUAGGCUUCUCGUUUUGUACCGUUCCGUGUCUUGUUCUUUUUUUGGAUCGGAACUUAUUGACAGAAUCUAGUUCGUAAUGUUUGGCACUUUGAAUCCGCCGAGUAGUUGAAUCUUGAUAUGCUUGAGUAAUUAUAUUUGCUGAUGGAGACCGGGGGUGACUGAAA